AUAUUUACCGACUUCAAUAGAAAAUUCAAAAAAUAUGUUGUAGUAAAAUAUUACAUUUGCGAAAUUGAAGAGAAAUACAAGGCUUUACACAUAGCAAAGAGAGGAGGGAAACACGAUACGAUUGAAGGGGAAAAUCCAGUUUUCUUUGCCUCCCUUUCAGCUUUCAAAUCCGAAAAACCCUAAUUCUCUCGUCCGACUAUGAGCUACCCUAAUUACGACUCCAGAUACGGUGAUUCAGGCUCCUAUCGACAGCGACGAAGUGACCUAAUGGGUCCGCAGCCUUCUAUGUAUCCACGGCCUAUGCCCGGUGGAGGUGCCGCUAGCUAUGGCCGUGGUGGGCCGCUUCCUUAUGGAGGUCCUCAGGCAGGGGGUCCACCGCCUAUGGAUGGUGGUUCUAGAGGGGGUAUGGGUGGAUCUGGACGCGUUGGUGGUGGGUAUCAACCUUUUGAAGGUGGGUUUGCAAGAGGGUCGGAUAUGGGCAGGUUUGGAGGUGGAGGAGUUGACAGAGUCGCUAAUGGUGGUAUGGGGGAACGGCCUGGGAGAUUUGGUGCUGGGGCAAGCUACAGUGGAGGUAGGAGUGGUGGUGGUGGUGGGAGAGGAGGUAGGGGUUUUGAUGGAGGCUACAGUGGCGGACGAGGAGGUGGAAGGUUUAGUUCAGAUGGAGGACGUGGUAGUAGUGGCGGGAGAGGAGGUAGGCAUGGGAGAUCGCGAGAUGAUCUUGACAACCUUACUCUUCCAAAGCAAGACUUUGGAAAUUUGGUACCUUUUGAGAAGAAUUUUUAUGUUGAAAAUCAUGCUGUGAGGGCAAUGACGGAUCAGGAGGUUGCUCAUUAUCGUGCACGGCGUGACAUUACCAUUGAAGGACAGGAUGUCCCUAGGCCAAUUCAGAUGUUCCAUGAGGCGAACUUUCCUGAUUAUUGCCUCGAGGUUAUUUCAAGACUAGGAUUUGUUGAGCCAACACCUAUCCAAUCACAAGGAUGGCCAAUGGCUCUAAAGGGCAGAGACUUAAUUGGAAUUGCUGAAACCGGUUCUGGAAAGACUUUGGCAUAUUUAUUGCCUGCUUUGGUCCAUGUCAGCGCACAGCCCCGGUUGGCACAAGGUGAUGGUCCAAUUGUGCUGGUAUUAGCACCUACAAGAGAAUUAGCUGUUCAGAUUCAAGAAGAAGCUGUGAAAUUUGGAUCACGUGCCAACAUAAGAAGCACUUGCAUAUAUGGUGGUGCCCCAAAAGGACCUCAAAUCCGUGACCUUAGAAGAGGAGUUGAAAUUGUGAUAGCAACCCCCGGUCGGUUAAUAGAUAUGCUGGAAGCUCAACAUACAAACCUGAAGCGGGUGACAUAUCUUGUAUUGGACGAGGCUGAUCGAAUGCUGGAUAUGGGGUUUGAGCCUCAAAUAAGGAAACUAAUUUCCCAGAUUAGACCAGAUAGACAAACCUUGUAUUGGAGUGCCACUUGGCCCAGGGAGGUUGAAGCGCUGGCUAGGCAGUUUCUACGUAAUCCCUAUAAGGUCAUCAUUGGGUCUCCAGAAUUGAAAGCAAAUCAAUCUAUAAGGCAAGUCAUUGAAGUUGUCACAGAUUUAGAGAAAUAUAGCAGGUUGAUUGGGCUUUUGAAAGAAGUGAUGGAUGGAAGCCGAAUUCUAAUAUUUGUGGAAACAAAAAAAGGAUGUGAUCAAGUCACCAGACAAUUGAGAAUGGAUGGAUGGCCAGCUUUAUCUAUCCAUGGUGAUAAAAGCCAGGAUGAGAGGGAUUGGGUCCUGGCUGAUUUCAAAAGUGGAAGAAGUCCCAUAAUGAUUGCCACUGAUGUUGCUGCACGUGGUCUUGGUAGGACCAAUCAUGUUAAGGAUUAGGAUUUUUUUAGUCUGUCCAUAUAGGUCUUUCACAGUAGAGCUAACGAGUCUCCGGCUGCUGUCAACUUUCCUGAGUAAAUAAUCUGUGGUUUGGGACGAAAGCUAGGGGCACGUUAACCACAAUAACAGUGUUUUUGCACUAUGAGCAGGAGAGGUUAUAGGAUUUAUGGAUUAGAACCAUUAGUUGAGUUUCAAUAGAACUUCAGCAGGAGCUUACUUAAACAUGUCACACUUAGGUCCUUUCUUUAAUAGCCACCCAUAAAUGACCACACUGAGUUUUAACUGCAAUUUUAUAGGGUUUUGGUUUCAGCUGGUGUUUUGAGUUGUUUGAACACUUAACUGCACUUCUCAAAUUGUCCAAACAUUGUAUCAGUUAAUUAAUAGAGAUAAGAUUAAAGGCAGAAAUUUAUAGUGAUCUCUUUGAAAUGGUAUUAUGUGACCAGCUCUUGAGUAACCUCUAAAAAAGGAUGUUUAAAUAGGAUGAAACCGCUCUUACAGUGAGCACUAUGUUGAUGUAAUAAUGAUAAUUCUUUUUGGGUCUUUAUUGGAUCUUUUGUCAUUAGAAAACGUGAGCUCGGGCAUCUAAUUUCAAAUGUGGGGAGUACACCUUUUUAAGUUAGAUAUACUAGAGAAUUAGAGUGCUGAAAGAAUCAAUUUUCAAGUUGGUGAAUGCUGUAGCUUUUAUAUGGAGGUCGAUCAGUUUCAGAAAACCCGAGAUAAAUCAAGAGUUGGUUACAAAAGGCUGCACGGUGAGUCCUAUUCUCAUUAGUGGACUUCGUUAAUGCAGCCUUGGAAAUUUGUCAUACAAAUUGCAAAUGAUGUUUAAUGUCUACUAGCAUAGCAUCACACCAAGAACUUGUAGCUUGUUCUUUUGGUUAUCUUAUCCUCACAAUCUAGAGAGAAAUGAAGUCGCAUGACUUCUUUUUUGACAAGUAAAAUUCCCUGUACUUUCUUUUAUAUUAAUAGGCUAAAUGGAAUACAUGUUAUUUAUUUAUUUAAUUAAUUGAAAUCUAUAGGAACUUGUGAGUAUCACACUCAUCACCCCAUGCUAAGAGCGCACAAGAGAACUAACUAUCUGGUUGUGUUUCUUUCCACAUUAGAAAGUUGUUGGGUGGUUAUAUACUGUAAGGGACCGAGUAUUGCACCACUCUGUCUAGCUGAUUAGUGGAGCAUUUGAACAAUCAAGCUGAAUGAGAAUGGCCAGUUGCUCUAUUCAACAUUUAGGAAGUAGGAUGGUGGGUGUAAAGGGAAUUGCGAACUGCCUUUGUGAAGAAUAGUCAUAAGAAGGAAACUGGCAACUAGUAUAGAAUGUGACACUUGAAAUUCUAGCUGCUUAUGUCAAUGAAGGUGUUAAAAUUCAUUGUGCAAUUAGCGGAAGAUGAUAGGAGAUGCUCUUCCUCCAUGUGGUUGGAAGAAUACUUGUGUUUGUUAUACUUUAGGAAUUUUAAGCCUAGGGAGGUGACUUCUUCUCCAAUAGGGGUGUGUCUCACGUCAUCUUGUCUAAGUAAGGUCGAGGUUAACGUUGCCCAUCCAUAGUUAUGGAGCUGGUUGUCCUGACAGUCCGGUAGACUCAUGCAAGAUUAUUGUGUCACUGGAAUUGAUUUUGCAAGUUCUGGUGGAGCUGCUCCUUAUCCCUGCCAGGUUAAGAUGUUAAGGACAUAAAGUGUGUUAUCAACUAUGAUUUCCCUUCAAGUCUCGAGGAUUAUAUUCAUAGGAUUGGCAGAACUGGACGUGCUGGCGCAACAGGGACUGCUUUUACAUUUUUCACUCACGCAAAUGCCAAGUUUACGAGAGAGCUUAUCAAGAUCCUGCAGCAGGCAGGACAAAUUGUUCCCCCUCAACUUUCUGCAUUAGCUAGGUCUAGUGGUCCUAGCACUGGAGGAAGCAAUUUCAGGUCUAGAGGACGAGGUGGCUUUGGGAACCGGGGGGGACAGAGAUCUGGGUCUAAUGUAAUUCCUAUUGGCGGUUCAAGAAGGCCUUGGUAGUUACCGAGUCUAGUAUAGGAAAUGUAUACUAGACAUAAUUUUGGGAUUCUCUAUGCUUUUUUGCAGCAUAUAGAUUUUAGUUAAAACUCAUCUCUUUCCUUUCUAGUCUUGGUGGAGUUGGUUCAUUACAUGGCCAGUUCUUAGGAAUUUGGAUAUGCAGAUGCAGAUAACAUAGUUUGUGCAGGAAUAGAAUAUUAUACUGUCUGGUGCUAUAUUUUACCCUUCUGAAUUUAAAUUCAUUCUGUUGUUUUGAGUAA